rnacentral:sRNA from 1 species
CUAAAUAGAUCAAGGGACUCUAAUACUACUUAGAGUAAUGGGUUGAAAUUUAGUUCAAUUAUUUUCAAAUUAUAUGUCUGCACAAUAUUUGCAGAAUAACAAUACUUCUGAAAACACUUUGAAACGAGUGAGUUCUCUUGCUGGAUUUACUGACUGUCACAGAACUUCCAUUCCUGUUCAUUCAAAACAAGAAAAAAUCAGUAGAAGGCCAUCUACCGAAGACACUCAUGAAGUAGAUUCCAAAGCAGCUUUAAUACCGGAUUGGUUACAAGAUAGACCGUCAAACAGAGAAAUGCCAUCUGAAGAAGGAACAUUAAAUGGUCUCACUUCUCCAUUUAAGCCAGCUAUGGAUACAAAUUACUAUUAUUCAGGUCAGUAAUAUUAAAAACAAAAUUUAAUAGUAUUUUGAACCUUUACAGAUUUCAUUAUUUCUCUCUCAUUUUUAUGCAGCUGUGGAAAGAAAUAACUUGAUGAGGUUAUCACAGAGCAUUCCAUUUACACCUGUGCCUCCAAGAGGGGAGCCUGUCACAGUGUAUCGUUUGGAAGAGAGUUCACCCAACAUACUAAAUAACAGCAUGUCUUCUUGGUCACAACUAGGCCUCUGUGCCAAAAUAGAGUUUUUAA